GAAGAAAAAAAGAGAAAACAACAACAACAAAAAAGAGUCUGGAUGUCUUGAUGAGUUCCUAAGUAGAAAUGACAGAGAAGAGGAACUGAAAAAGGAAGUCAUGGGCCAAGAGUGGAGUAUUACAAUUUCAGACUUCUAGUAUGGAGCAGCACAGUUACGGGUGUGGACAAGUGAAUGUCUUGGAGUAGAAGGCAAAGAACAUUUUUGCAUGGAACAUGGCCACACCAUACCUUGGUGUGAUCUCAGGUUGAGGCUGAGCUAAAGUUAAUCUGUUGUAACAUUCUGGAUGUACUGGACAAACACCUCAUUCCAGCAGCUAACACUGGCGAGUCCAAGAUAUAAGCUGGAGAAAAGUAAGUUCACCUGGAUGGAGGAGAUGAGAGGGUAGACUUGGAGCUCAGCAAGACCUAGAACUGCUCAAGUGACACCAAAGGGGACAGGAAGGGGAGGUGAUCUCCUUUGGAGGAUUUGGAGGAAAUAUUUUGGGGCUGAAAGAAACAUCCCAAAUAAUCCUCACAAGAGUCCGAUGAGAAGAGAGCCAGAGACAAGGAAACUGAUGUUCAGAGAGGACCAGAGACCCCCCACAAAGCCACA
rnacentral:lncRNA from 1 species